rnacentral:rRNA from 1 species
UACGUAGGGGGCAAGCGUUGUCCGGAAUCAUUGGGCGUAAAGCGCGUGUAGGCGGCUCAUCGCGUCUGCCGUGAAAACCUGUGGCUCAACUACAGGCUUGCGGUUGAUACGGGUGGGCUGGAGUUCGGUAGGGGAGACUGGAAUUCCUGGUGUAGCGGUGAAAUGCGCAGAUAUCAGGAGGAACACCGGUGGCGAAGGCGGCUUGCUGGGCCAGUUCUGACGCUGAGGAGCGAAAGCGUGGGGAGCGAACAGG